CCAAAACCUGAUCAUCCUUGCCUGAUGCACAGCAUUUUCUUACCAGCAAUCUUUGGUUGGCUCCAUGGCUAUCUGGCGGUUGGUUUUUGGGAAAUAUACAUUAAUGCCUUAUCUUCUGGGCUUCUUCAGGAAGGAAGGUGGGAAAAGGCAAGAGGAUGCAGCCACCAGACACCAAGAGCAGACAGAUGGCAAAAUUAUCUGUGCAUCACGGCACUGAGGAUCAUUAGCUUCUUCUCAACGCACUAUCCUAAUGCUGCUGGUAAGCAGCUGCUGGUUUGGUGGAGGGACACCAAUUAGUGGUGAUCUGUAUGACUGGAAAUGGAAGAGAAGUGGGUUCACAAGACAUGAGAGCUGUUGUUUCCUGGUGUUUGCAUACAGAAUUUUCCUGGAUAGCUAAGAACACAGCAGGUAGCCCAGAUGCUGAUUCAACCCCCACAGUCUCUCCUCCAGAUAAUGUCUCCCUGGGAGAGCUUGAACCAUGUGGAAAGCAUACGUGCAAACAACUGCAGUCAGUGAAAUAAUGUGUCAGAGACAGGGACAAACCAGUGUCUGUGUGGGAUCUUAUUUAAACAGGCCCAACGUCAUGUCACCAUGGAACCAGCACCAUCCCAGCUUCUCAAGCACACUCCCACAUCGAUUUCCCCGAGGAGCACUGCCCACGGAAGUGCCAGGUGAUCUUCCUGGGGGGAUUAAUCAGUGUGUAGUACCUGGGGACAUCUGGUCUGCAUGACAGCAGCUGAGACAUCUGCAUGGGCAGAGCAGUGCAGCACAGCAUGUGUAGGGCAGAGACCCUCCCUGCCAUCUCAUCCAGCAGCUCCAUCUCUGCUGGAGUUGGGAAGCUGCAACAAAGGCCAUGGUGUCCCUCCUACCUUGUCUGAGAGCCCAGGAUCUCAUCCACUGCUGACAGCAUCUCUCUGUGUGCCAGUGUCAGUGUUCAACUCCUUGACUUGAUUGAAGCCUUCAGUAUAUUGACUUGUCUGUUUUGAUCUUCCUGUUUUUACUUUUGUUUCUUUCGGAAUUUGUUUUAAUCUGCCGAUUUUUUCUGAGGUGUCAUAUUUCUAACCAUAUUUUCUUUAUUUGUCUUUCCUGGGUUUUUGUUUGUUUGGUGUUUUUUAAUGGUGGUCUUCUUUCAGAAGCUAUCUUUUCAAAGAGCUGCCAUUGCUGCCUCCACAGAUGCUCCAAUAAUACCAGGUGCAGAAGAUUAUGGGUGUCCAAAAGUGUAACCAUUUUCUAACAAAAUUGGAUAUAUAAGAGAAUGUGUCUGUACACUGAAUUUAAAAUUUGUAAAUGGCUCUGUACAUUCAAACCCAAGUUGUUAGACUCAUUAAAACUGACAUAUGCAAACAUUUCAACUACAAAAAUUCAGUUACUGAUCUCUGUUAAAUUCCAGGCAGCAGAUGACACUAAGAGUCUGCUAAAGAAAAAAAUGCUACUCUUUUUUUUCCCCCACUGCUUUUAGUAUUUGCUCAGUAUCAUUAAUAUAAAUAUGCAAUCAUCGAAAUCAACACAACUGAAGUUAACAGAGCAACUCCAGAUUUACAUCAGUGUAAAUGAGAGCAAAACUUGAUCCCUCGCAUGUAAUUUAUCUUUAAUUCUGGUUUAAGUCUCUCUCAUCUUGCUGAAUAAAAACUGAUGUUCUUCUCA
ensembl:lncRNA